UACAGAGGUCUCAAGCGUUGUUCGGAUUCAUUGGGCGUAAAGGGUGCGUAGGCGGCGCGGUAAGUCGGGUGUGAAAUCUCGGGGCUUAACUCCGAAACUGCAUUCGAUACUGCCGUGCUUGAGGACUGGAGAGGAGACUGGAAUUUACGGUGUAGCGGUGAAAUGCGUAGAUAUCGUAAGGAAGACCAGUGGCGAAGGCGGUCUCGUGGACAGUUCCUGACGCUGAGGCACGAAGGUCAGGGAGCAAACGGG
rnacentral:rRNA from 1 species